rnacentral:misc_RNA from 1 species
AACUGAUACUACCUGCGGGAACCUGCGGAAGGAUCAUUACCGAGUUUACAACUCCCAAACCCAUGUGAACAUACCUAUUGUUGCUUCGGCGGGAUUGCCCCGGGCGCCUCGUGUGCCCCGGAUCAGGCGCCCGCCUAGGAAACUUAACUCUUGUUUUAUUUUGGAAUCUUCUGAGUAGUUUUUACAAAUAAAUAAAAACUUUCAGCAAUGGAUCUCU